GAUGAACGCUGGCGGCGUGCCUAAUACAUGCAAGUCGAGCGAACGGACGAGAAGCUUGCUUCUCUGAUGUUAGCGGCGGACGGGUGAGUAACACGUGGAUAACCUACCUAUAAGACUGGGAUAACUUCGGGAAACCGGAGCUAAUACCGGAUGAUAUUUUGAACCGCAUGGUUCAAAAGUGAAAGACGUUCUUGCUGUCACUUAUAGAUGGAUCCGCGCUGCGUUAGCUAGUUGGUAAGGUAACGGCUUACCAAGGCAACGAUGCAUAGCCGACCUGAGAGGGUGAUCGGCCACACUGGAACGGAGACACGGUCCAGACUCCUACGGGAGGCAGCAGUAGGAAAUCUUCAGCAAUGGGCGAAAGCCUGACGGAGCAACGCGGCGUGAGUGAUGAAGGUCUUCGGAUCGUAAAACUCUGUUAUUAGGGAAGAACAUAUGUGUAAGUAACUGUGCACAUCUUGACGGUACCUAAUCAGAAAGCCACGGCUAACUACGU
rnacentral:rRNA from 1 species